GGAUUAGAUACCCUGGUAGUCUAUGCUGUAAACGAUGUGCACUUGGUGUUGGGCCGAUUAGGCUCAGUGCCGUAGCUAACGCGAUAAGUGCACCGCCUGGGGAGUAUGCCCGCAAGGGUGAAACUCAAAGGAAUUGACGGGGGCCCGCACAAGCGGUGGAUUAUGUGGUUUAAUUCGAUGAUACGCGAGAAACCUUACCAGGGUUUGACAUGCACAGGAAUAAGCCAGAGAUGGUUUAGCCCGCAAGGGUCUGUGCACAGGUGCUGCAUGGCUGUCGUCAGCUCGUGCCG
rnacentral:rRNA from 1 species